CGCAGCCUGAUCCGCCAUACCGCGCUGUGUGAAGAAGGCCUUCGGGUUGUAAAGCACUUUAAGCAGGGAGAAAAAAAUAUAGGUUAAUACCCUAUGUUCUUGAUGUUACCUGCAGAAUAAGCACCGGCUAAUUCCGUGCCAGCAGCCGCGGUAAUACGGAAGGUGCAAGCGUUAAUCGGAAUUACUGGGCGUAAAGCGCGCGUAGGUGGUUUGUUAAGUUGGAUG
rnacentral:rRNA from 1 species